UACGUAGGGGGCUAGCGUUGUCCGGAAUCAUUGGGCGUAAAGAGCGUGUAGGCGGCCCGGUAAGUCCGCUGUGAAAGUCGGGGGCUCAACCCUCGAAUGCCGGUGGAUACUGUCGGGCUAGAGUGCGGAAGAGGCGAGUGGAAUUCCUGGUAUAGCGGUGAAAUGCGCAGAUAUCAGGAGGAACACCGAUUGCGAAGGCAGCUCGCUGGGACGUUACUGACGCUGAGACGCGAAAGCGUGGGGAGCAAACAGG
rnacentral:rRNA from 1 species